UUUGGAUCUUGGUUGCACUUGCCCAUGCUGUCUUCAUGGACAAAGGCCUCUGUUUUCCAGGUGGGGUUGAACAAUGGGAGUCCACUGUUGUACCAAAAAAAGGACAAACCAGAAGUAACUACAGGAACAAGCAACAGACUUCACACAAGUUUGAACCUGACCCCUAAACUGUAACUGUGAGUUACACAAGCUAAACACUGGAGUACCCUAUUUUCCCAAAGAUUUUCAAAAAUCAUAAAAAUAGCCACAAUUGUAUUCAGUAGUUUUCAUCCAGUUGUGACCAAAUACAGCAUCCAGGCCUUUUUUGCACUGGGGCACAGCUGGAGGUAAUUGGAAGCGAUUAGCACCAGCUGUGAUUACUUUUCACCUGCUAUAAAAGCUCGGCUGGUCGCUAUCCUUCACAUCUGUCGCUGGCACAAUGGCUGAUGUUUGGGCCUUUGUGCUGCUUGGUCAUCCUGUCUUCAUGGACAAAGGCCAUUGUUUUCCAGAUGUAUCUCAUGAUUGUUUCACUUACGAGACGUGUUAAACUCAUUGAUUCUUUGGAUUCUACAUUGACACUACACACUCCAGGUGAGACUGUUGGAUGACUUGGGGUCAUUUGAGCCAAACCAUACUUAACAGAUCUCACUUGUCACCACCAAAUAAAUAAAACUAGCAAAGAUAGCAUUGGUCUUAUACCAAUGUGGACCUGUUUAGUUGUGAACUAUAACUAACUUAAAAAUUCCAUUUUUUUUUUUAUUUAUAUUUUAUAAAGUUACCUGUACUUCAGGGGCCUUGUCAGUUUUUGUUUUUUUUUUUUUUUAAUAAAUUGCCCAGAAAAAAUGGUCAACAUGGUUCUUUAACCUAACUUUCUGCUUAAAGGUAGCAAGAAUUUUUUUUUUUUUUUUCUGCUCAAAUACUUGGUUCAUAACUGCUUCCACACCCGACUUCAUGUGAUUUAUAGAUUGGUAAUUAUACAAUGUGCUUAUCAAUGGCAUAUAUUUAAGACUAGUCUAUUUUAGUACCCCUUCAAUUCGGUUCAAUGAUAACUAAUGUAGCUUUUUGACAAGCCCAACCUGCAACCAAAGAGGUGAGCGGCAAGGGCCAACUGCACGACACGUUGAAGAUAACGUGAGCGGCAAGGGCCAACAGCACGACGCCUUGAGCUACAAGGUCCAGCAGAGUGUCAACCAAAACACCACAAUGAGCCACAACCAACAGCAUGAGUUCUUUCAACAACUCCAGAGUGUCACACUGGAUGAUGACCUCACUAAAGGCUUCAUUGUGAAUAUUUGAGGUGUACAGCAUGAAAGAGCUGUUUUAUGCAUCUUGUCUGACAAUAAUUUAAAUUCUUAACCGCACCAUAUUGUUUUUGAAAAUGGAACUGUUUUGUUCAGCGGUCUUAAAAUCCUUGCAUAACUCACUGCAAUGAUUCGAUGUAGUUAAGGUUAGUGCUUGUCACGAGGUCACGUAGCCAACUGUUGUAUUACGACAAAGUUGACUUCACAAUUUCAAUUGAUCCCAAUCUAUGGCAUGGAUUAGGCCCUACAGAGUGUUAUUGCACUUAGUCUAUAAAGUUGCAUGCUGAUCAAACUUUGUAUGACACUAUAGGCAUAGUGCUAAUUUUGGGUUAUUGCAAGUUGGAAGUGGGCUGAAAUCAGUUUAACAAUUUGAGAGCUGCUUGUAUAAUUUAUUUAAAACCCUUCCACUCACCACAGACUCUUUUUGAAAGUUAUCCACACCAAGGAUGUACAGGUGAAUCAAUUUAA